rnacentral:lncRNA from 1 species
GCGGAGCCGCGGCGCCCCGGAGCGCCUGCUGGCGGACGGCCGCCGCCCACUCGGUCCUCCCCUCUCAGGAAGGGGGCGCCGCUCGGCCGCGCGGGCCGGGCCAGCGUCCCCGCCACCCGCCCGCCGCCCGCCGCCCGCCGCCCGCCGCCCGCGUGACUGAGCCGAGCGCCGCGGGGGCGGGGUGCAGCGGCGCCGCGGGAGGAGCUGGGCGAGGAGCGGCCCCUUCCCUGCGCGGCGCGCGGCCGGGUUACAGCCACACUCAGGAGCCUCUUGGGAAAAGCUCAAAAGUCCCCAUUUUGCGGAAAGCCUGCUAGGAUGUGGUGGGACCCCGCGGUGAGAGAAACCCCCAGAGGCCUCGAAAGCCCCGGUGCCAGAGCCCAACCCGGCCUCGGCCUGGCCUCGAGCGAGGUCUCCCGCGCUCCGGGCCUGCACUUCCGGUCCCCGUCCCCGCGGGUUCCCUGACCCGCCGCUCCCGGGCACUUCCGCCGCCCACCACGUGGCCGGGGCCUGGAGGAGGCUGCCCGGAAGGCCUGGCUCUAGCGCUUGGGGCCUUCGCCUGUUCCCGUCGCUUCUCUUUAUUACGGAUUUCCUGUCAUUUCGUCGGUCGCUAGCCCCUGUGGGAAGUGGUGCGGAGGAGGGCCAGAGGGCCUUCACCAGUUUCUGUACUCAGGAGGCAGGGCAUGCAACAAAUGUCGAAAGAAUUACUGAAUGA